AGAUAAGAACCAAAAGAGUGAAUAGAUAAUCACAUUUUGAAUAGAUCCCAUAAGAAAGAAAAUGCUGAAAUGCAAUGAAAAAUGACAAGAAAUGCCUAAGACAUGGAAGGAAAGGAAUGUGAGGCAGCCAGCUCAACUGGGAACAGCUGGGAGCCUGGAGAGAUUCCCCAAAACAAGGGAAGGCAUUUCAGACCUCAUUUCAAGAAUAAUUUGUCAGGCCUCUGAGCCCAAGCCUGCACGUAUACGUCCAGAUGGCCUGAAGCAAGUGAAGAAUCACAAAAGAAGUGAAAAUGGCUGGUUCCUGCCUUAACUGAUGACAUUCCACCAUUGUGAUUUGUUCCUGCCCCACCUUAACUGAUUGAUUAACCUUGUGAAAUUCCUUCUCCUGGCUCAGAACCUCCCCUGCUGAGCACCUUGUGACCCCGCCCCUGCCUGUAAGAGAAAAACCCCCUUUGACUGUAAUUUUCCACUACCCACCCAAAUCCUAUAAAACAGCCCCACCCCUAUCUCCCUUUGCUGACUGUCUUUACGGACUCAGCCAGCCUGCACCCAGGUGAAAUAAACAGCCUUGUUGCUCACACAAA
rnacentral:lncRNA from 1 species